UUGUGGGCUGCUGAAGUCUUGUUUUAUCCUUUGUGUGAGCAAAUCAGGCUAUUUGCAGUGUUGCAAAGGCACUCAAAUAAUUCAGCUAAUGAACACGUCCCUGUAUUUACAGCCAACUGGCACAGGCUGUGAUAGUCAUGCUCUGAGGUGCUUGUAAGGAGUGUGAAAGCAGGCUUUCUUCCUGAUUUUGUGCCAUUUGCUCCCGUGCCUCCUCAAAUCUGUCUCUUAAUUGUGUGGUGCUGGGCUGGCUAAAUGUAAUCUGGGAUGAGAGGGUGGGUGAGGGAACGUUCAGCAGGGAGAGCAGCUCCUGGAAGUCCCAUUCAGCUUCCACGUCCUGUUCCCGCAAGUGUCUUUAUUCAAACUGCACAGUUACCCUUUCUCCUGGUUUUGUCCCCCGACUUCCUUGCUGUGUCUCCCAGCAGCACGGGCACAAAGGAUGGGCCAUAGCGAGGCCUCCUGGAGCUGCCCUGUCCGGUCUGGCACUGUGGGGUCCAGGCUGCAAAUGUGGCUCGGCUGUUUGCUGGGGCCAUGCUUGCGUUUGAACAGCUGUCUGUGUGCUAUCCGUGUGGGAACCGCCUUAAAUUGGCGGGAAAAGGUGAGGCGUCGGCCCUCAGGACAGCUGUCCCCAGGGUCCUGCCUCACCACACGCUGCUCCAGGGGCACCUGAGGGGACCCCGCCUGGUGGCCUGAAAGGCUCGUGGCCGUCACAGUGGUACAGAACUGCGGCUGGGUCCUGCAGAGCUGGGAGGAUGAACAGCCCUGGCAGGAAGGCCCCGAGCUGGCCGAACGCCUCAGCCUGCGAUGGCGGCACAGCCCUCGGCAGCCGUGAUGGAGGCGGCACCUGUGGUCAGAGACUGAGCUGCCUGCUGUGGAGCUGAUCCUCUCACUUGGAUGAUGUAAAUGAGGCCUAGGGAAAAACUCACUGCACAAGGAGUGAGCCCACCUCUUCAUCCUUCUCCUGCACCACUGGACUGGCUGCAAACAAAACAAGGGGCCUUGCAAGGCAGUGGUGUUGUCCCUCCAACGUGCUGGGAAGUGCCUUAUAGAAAGGAAUGGCUGUUAGUGACUGGGAAUCUCUUGGAAGGAGAGAGGGAUUGAUGAGCACUAAAAGGGAUCAUGACCUGCCUGAAAUGUCAUGUCUGGUGAUCAUGAAGGAGUCAAAGGGAUUGGAAGUCCUGGUCCAGCCACAAUUUCUUUUUGUUUGUGU